rnacentral:tRNA from 1 species
GCCGCGGUGGCGGAACAGGCAGACGCGUGGGUCUCAAAAACCCAUGAGGCAACCCCUCGUGUGAGUUCGAUUCUCACCCGCGGCA